GAUAAACGCUGGCGGCGCACAUAAGACAUGCAAGUCGAACGGACUUAACCGAAAUGUUUACAUCUUGGAGCGGUUAGUGGCGGACUGGUGAGUAACACGUAAGCAACCUGCCUAUCAGAGGGGAAUAACAGUGAGAAAUCAUUGCUAAUACCGCAUAUGCUGUGAGUAUCGCAUGAUACAAACAGGAAAGGAGCAAUCCGCUGAUAGAUGGGCUUGCGUCUGAUUAGAUAGUUGGUGGGGUAACGGCCUACCAAGUCGACGAUCAGUAGCCGGACUGAGAGGUUGAACGGCCACAUUGGGACUGAGAUACGGCCCAG
rnacentral:rRNA from 1 species